UUAAUCUGGGUUUUCUCAUUUCUCAUUUCGCCCGCCCUUCCAAUUAUGGUGAACCACUACCAGUUGAAGCUGCCAGCAUGAUCUUAACUUUUCUCUCCUUUUUUUUGUUUUGUUUUCAUGGUUGAGGAAAGAUCAGAUCAUAUGGCAGUUUCACCUGUUGUUGCUUUGCCUUCUCAUCCACAACGGAACCCGCAAUCCCUAAAAAUUAGCCCUAAUUUUCACCUCAUUGACCUUCCGUUUGGUUCGAUCCCCUUCAUAAUUGAGAAAUUAGGGUUUGUGAUUCCUUCAAAGCUUCUGAUCAUGGCGGCGGGUUUAUCUUUAAGCUCUUUCCAGCUAGGUCUGAUAUGGGUAAGAUUUUACUUCGCCAUAAGCAUUUUCUCUUUUUCCUUCUCAUUAUUGGAUUUUGAUUCGGUCUGAGUUGGUUGAGGAAAAAGAAAGGGUGUUUUUCUGAAGGAAAGAUUCUGCAAGAGUGACCCUAAUUAUUAAGAUUUCUGGAGUUGCUAUUUGUCUGUUUCAUAUUGUUUUUGGGAUUGAUGCCCUCCAGUAUUUUCACAUGUUCUGAAUUUAUCUCUUUGGUCUCUUUAAGAAAGAGAGAGAGAGAGAGAAACAGAAGAAAUUGAGCAUUAACUAUCCUUCUGCAAAGAACUGGAUGAUAAGUCAUAAUAUAGCACCAGUUUUAACGGCUUUAAAACAACUGUUCACCAAACUCAUGAUCCCGGCGUAUCUCAAUACAUAAAGGUAAGCCUAAAGCCUGUGAUUAAGAAGAUGACAGACACCUUUUGGAUUGGAUUUCAUUACCAUCUUAAUUAAUUACCUUAAUCCUUUUCAAUUAGUGUCCUAAAUCCUAAUGAUCGAUCCAUUUACUCUCUUAUUUUUGGUAUGAAUCUGUAAGGGGUUGAACAAGGAUUUGUCCAUGCAGAGAAGUUUGAUAGUGUGUGAGUAGUAGGCACUGGGUUUUGUAGAUGCCAUUUCAGGCUGCCUACGAAAAGUAGCCCUCUGAAGCAAAACUUGAUUCUUCUUUUUGCCCCCUUAGGUUUCACAAAAGAGAGGUAUAUUGGUGAAUAGUGUGGGCAGGACGAGGGUUGUUUUUAUUUCUUCCUUGGUACUGUUUGGAAGACCAUGUUGCAUAGUGUAUGUACUUCUACAAAAAUAUCUUACUUGGGAACAUGAAUGGAGUACAAUUUCUUGCAAUUUCUUCAA